CGGACGGGUGAGUAAUGUCUGGGAAACUGCCUGAUGGAGGGGGAUAACUACUGGAAACGGUAGCUAAUACCGCAUAACGUCGCAAGACCAAAGAGGGGGACCUUCGGGCCUCUUGCCAUCAGAUGUGCCCAGAUGGGAUUAGCUAGUAGGUGGGGUAACGGCUCACCUAGGCGACGAUCCCUAGCUGGUCUGAGAGGAUGACCAGCCACACUGGAACUGAGACACGGCCCAG
rnacentral:rRNA from 1 species